rnacentral:rRNA from 1 species
GAUGAACGCUAGCUACAGGCUUAACACAUGCAAGUCGAGGGGUAACGAGAGGAAAGCUUGCUUUCCUUGUCGACGACCGGCGCACGGGUGAGUAACGCGUAUCCAACCUGCCCCCAACUAGGGAAUAACCUUGCGAAAGUAAGACUAAUACCCUAUAAUUUCCUCAGAUGUCAUCUGACGAGGAAUAAAGAUUUAUCGGUUGUGGAUGGGGAUGCGUCUGAUUAGCUUGUUGGCGGGGUAACGGCCCACCAAGGCAACGAUCAGUAGGGGUUCUGAGAGGAAGGUCCCCCACAUUGGAACUGAGACACGGUCCAAACUCCUACGGGAGGCAGCAGUGAGGAAUAUUGGUCAAUGGGCGGAAGCCUGAACCAGCCAAGUAGCGUGCAGGAUGACGGCCCUAUGGGUUGUAAACUGCUUUUAUACGGGAAUAAAGUAAGCCACGUGUGGUUAUUUGUAGGUACUGUAUGGAUAAGGACCGGCUAAUUUCGUGCCAGCCGCCGCGGUAA